rnacentral:rRNA from 1 species
UGGGGAAUUUUUGGCAAUGGGGGCAACCCUGACCAAGCAACGCCGCGUGGGUGAUGAAGUCUCUUGGGACGUACAACCCUUUCGACGGGGAAGAAAACCGCAAGGUUUGACGGUACCCGUAGAAGAAGCCCCGGCUAACUCCGUGCCAGCAGCCGCGGUAAUACGGGGGGGGCAAGCGUUGUUCGGAAUUACUGGGCGUAAAGGGCGCGUAGGCGGCUCGCUAAGUUGGAUGUGAAAACUCUGGGCUCAACCCAGAGCCUGCAUCCAAAACUGGCGGGCUAGAGUUCUGGAGGGGGUAGCGGAAUUCCUGGUGUAGCGGUGAAAUGCGUAGAUAUCAGGAGGAACACCGGUGGCGAAGGCGGCUACCUGGACAGAAACUGACGCUGAGGCGCGAAAGCUAGGGGAGCAAACAGGAUUAGAUACCCUGGUAGUCCUAGCCCUAAACGAUGGAUACUUGGUGUAGCUGGGAUUGAAUCCAGCUGUGCCGAAGCUAACGCAUUAAGUAUCCCGCCUGGGGAGUACGGUCGCAAGGCUGA